rnacentral:lncRNA from 10 species
CUCAUUGUGUCUAGAAAUGUAUUAUGACCUCCAUUUGGCCCUCGUUGUGCCCUUCUUAACUCCAGGAUCUCCAGGAAGUCACUCCGAGUUGGAUUUUAACAGGAAACCAACCAUCAGGUCUCCCAGAUUGUAUCAAAGACAUGAAACUUACCAAGUCACCACAUCUGGACGGUGAGAUUCAGGACUCUACACCCAUCACAAUUGCCUAAGUGACCACCUGCUUCCUAUUGACCAACUCCUCUUUCUUACCCCUCCGUAAUUUCUGUUUUCUCUCACAUGGUUACAUUUCUUACCUACUAUAUAAACCCUUAAUUCCAGUCCAUCACGGAGAUGGAUUUGAGGCUGAUCUUCCAUUCUCUUUGGCUGCAGCACCUGAAUAAAACCUUGUUCCCGAGCAAU